UACAGAGGUCCCGAGCGUUUGUUCGGAUUCAUUGGGCGUAAAGGGUGCGUAGGCGGCUUCCUAAGUUUGAUGUGAAAUCCUGGGGCUCAACCCUGGAACUGCAUUGAAUACUGGGAGGCUAGAGUACUGGAGAGGAAACUGGAAUUUACGGUGUAGCAGUGAAAUGCGUAGAGAUCGUAAGGAAGACCAGUGGCGAAGGCGAGUUUCUGGACAGUUACUGACGCUGAGGCACGAAGGCCAGGGGAGCAAACGGGG
rnacentral:rRNA from 1 species